rnacentral:rRNA from 1 species
AAAUUGAAGAGUUUGAUCAUGGCUCAGAUUGAACGCUGGCGGCAGGCCUAACACAUGCAAGUCGAACGGUAACAGGAAUCAGCUUGCUGAUUCGCUGACGAGUGGCGGACGGGUGAGUAAUGUCUGGGAAACUGCCUGAUGGAGGGGGAUAACUACUGGAAACGGUAGCUAAUACCGCAUAACGUCGCAAGACCAAAGAGGGGGACCUUCGGGCCUCUUGCCAUCGGAUGUGCCCAGAUGGGAUUAGCUAGUAGGUGGGGUAACGGCUCACCUAGGCGACGAUCCCUAGC